UACGAAGGGGGCUAGCGUUGUUCGGAAUUACUGGGCGUAAAGGGCGCGUAGGCGGUUGCUCAAGUCAGGCGUGAAAGCCCCGGGCUCAACCUGGGAAUAGCGCUUGAGACUGGGCGGCUUGAGUUCGGGAGAGGUGAGUGGAAUUCCCAGUGUAGAGGUGAAAUUCGUAGAUAUUGGGAAGAACACCGGUGGCGAAGGCGGCUCACUGGCCCGGUACUGACGCUGAGGUGCGAAAGCGUGGGGAGCAAACAGG
rnacentral:rRNA from 1 species